rnacentral:rRNA from 1 species
UGGGGAAUCUUCCGCAAUGGGCGAAAGCCUGACGGAGUGACGCCGCGUGGGGGACGAAGGCCUUCGGGUCGUAAACCCCUGUCAGCGGGAAAGAAGGGUUCGGGCGUGAACAGCGCUCGGAUCUGACGGUACCCUCCGAGGAAGCACCGGCCACCUCUGUGCCAGCAGCCGCGGUAAGACAGAGGGGGCAACCGUUGCUCGGAAUCACUGGGCGUAAAGGGCGCGUAGGCGGGCCGGCAAGUCGGUCGC